rnacentral:misc_RNA from 1 species
CCAAACUUGGUCAUUUAGAGGAAGUAAAAGUCGUAACAAGGUUUCCGUAGGUGAACCUGCGGAAGGAUCAUUAACAAUAAUAUAUCCAUAUCCACCUUGUGUGAACCAUUGAAAAGUCUGUUGGCAGGUUUUAACCGCAUUGUUAAAGUGUGGGAUGUCUAGGUCCACUGCGAUUUGGCAUCAGCGAGAAGAGUAUUCUUCGGCCUGCCAAUUUUUUAUUUGUCUCUACUCGUCUAAUAUAAACUUUGGACUUAAAAUUUAAAUAUUUAAUAAAAUACAACUUUCAACAACGGAUCUCUUGGCUCUCGCAUCGAUGAAGAACGCAGC